AUGUGUAUAAGAGACAGGUGAAUCAUCGAAUCUUUGAACGCACAUUGCGCCCUCUGGUAUUCCGGAGGGCAUGCCUGUCUGAGCGUCAAUAUAACAUCAAACAUCAGUUUGGUCUUGGAAGAAGAGAUGGCAACAUCUCCCUUCUGUAAACCAUUGAGCAGCGGCCCAAGCUAUGCGACGUAGUAAGCACAAUCUCGUCGAACUGUAGUCUUGAGACUGUUUGCCAUAACCAAAUUCUUUUGUUUGACCUCAGAUCAGGUAGGGAUACCCCCUGAACUUAAGCAUAUCAAUAAGCGGAGG
rnacentral:misc_RNA from 1 species